rnacentral:snRNA from 1 species
GUACUUGCUUCGGCAGUACAUGUACUAAAAUCGGAGCGAAACAGAGAAGAUCGCAUGGCGCCUGCGCAAGGAUGACACGAAAAAUCGGGAAGCGUUCCACACCUUU